UGGAUUAAUGAUGGCCGCUGGUGCUGUAUGAGCUGUUGGCUGUGUCUGCAGGUCUGGGAGGCUGAGGUCCGC